AUUGAACGCUGGCGGCAUGCUUUACACAUGCAAGUCGAACGGCAGCGCGGGCUUCGGCCUGGCGGCGAGUGGCGAACGGGUGAGUAAUGCAUCGGAACGUGCCCAGUAGUGGGGGAUAGCCCGGCGAAAGCCGGAUUAAUACCGCAUACGACCUGAGGGUGAAAGCGGGGGACCGAAAGGCCUCGCGCUAUUUGAGCGGCCGAUGUCGGAUUAGCUAGUUGGUGGGGUAAAGGCUUACCAAGGCGACGAUCCGUAGCUGGUCUGAGAGGACGACCAGCCACACUGGGACUGAGACACGGCCCAGACUCCUACGGGAGGCAGCAGUGGGGAAUUUUGGACAAUGGAGGCAACCCUGAUCCAGCCAUGCCGCGUGCGGGAAGAAGGCCUUCGGGUUGUAAACCGCUUUUGUUCGGGAAGAAAUCCUCUGGGCUAAUACCCCGGGGGGAUGACGGUACCGGAAGAAUAAGCACCGGCUAACUACGUG
rnacentral:rRNA from 1 species